UGAUCCCAAGGGGCCAGUGUGAAGCAGCAGGGCUUUGUGGAACCAAGAGGCCAUUGUUGCAUUUCAGGGCCUCAUGGAGCCAAAGGGCCGUUGUGAUCCUGUGGGGCACCAUGGAUCCAUGGAGACCAUUGUGGCACUGCAAGGCCCCAUGGAAUCAUUGCGACACUCUGGGGCCCCAGGGAACCAAAGAGCCAUUGUGACCCUGCAGGGCCUCAUGGAGGGAAGGGGUCAUUGUGACACUGUGGGAAGCUGUGGAACCAUUGUUGCACUACUGGGCCCCAACAGAACCAAGGGACCAUGGUGACACAGCAGGGCUUCAUGGAACACAAACACCAUUAUGACACUGUGGGGCCUUUUGGAACCAUGGAGACCAUUAAGAUCCUUAAGCACUUGUGAAACCAAGGGGCCAUUAUAAUGCCACAGGACAUCAUGGAAGCAAGAGAACCACUGUGAUGUUGCAAGACUUCAUGGAAGCACAGAGCCCUUGUGACACUGCAGGGCCCUAUGGAACCAAGAGAACACAAAAUAGGUCUGGCUGCCUUGGCCUCCCAGGAGUCACCUGACAGGUCUGGCAGACCUUGGAAUGUGGAAGGCCACUCCCAUCUGCCCCUGAAACACUGGGGAUCUUGGCUUUCCUUUGUACGGAAAAGAACUGUCCAUCUCUUCCAGGUAUCCAUGGCCAAAAUUAGGAUUCCACCUCCAAAUUUCUGUGUAUCCAAGGAUUGCUGCCAGAGAAAAGCUGCCAGGACAGACAGGUCUGGCUGGUCUUUAACUCCUGAGUGCCAGCACUGACCUGUUUUCUAAACACUGGAAAGGGCUCUAUGCUUUUCUUUUUGUGGAAAAAAAUCCUCCUUCUCCAGGCACAAAUGGCUAAAAUUAAUAUUCCACAUUCAUAAUUUUGAAUAUCCAAGGGUUGCUCCCAGACAAAGCUGCCAGGACAGACAGGUCAGGCUUGCCUUGGCCUCUGGUGGCUGCCGUUCAUCAGCUCCUGAAACAUGGGGGUUCUGUGGUUUCCUUCUUAUGAAGACCAAUGUGACACCUUGUGGCCUUGUGAAAUGCAGGGGCAUUGUGACACUGCAGAGCACCAUGGAUCCAAGGGACCAUUGUGGCACUCUGGAGCCUCACGGAACCAAGGACAUCACUGUGGCUCUGUUGGGGCCCAUGGUCCCAAGGGGCCAGUGUGAAGCAGCAGUGUGGGAGUUAGCCCGGCUGUAACUCAGAGUCAGCCAGAUUUUGUCCUGGAAGAACCAGGCGUGAGUUUCAAGCCCUGGGAGUCAUUUAUUUAACUUAGGAUGAGCUUGGGAGUUCUCCCACAAGCCUUUAUUGUUGUUAUGCUAUGUUGUCCAAGUUCUGCUUCCCUACUGGUUACUUGUUUCCCCUAUAUGGGUAUUGUUCUAGAGUGUUCUAUCCCCAAGUGUAUAUAUUGUUACUUUGUCUCAGGUCUUUGGAUCCUGCCCCUCAUACUGGGCUUGCCUUCUCCAUGUUUUUUGUUUUUCACCGUGUUUUUAAAGUUAUUUUUUGGGCAACUCCAUUGAACCUCCUCCAUUUCAUUUCCGCCAGCUUCACUCUUAAGUCAGGGAACCAGAGAGGUUUGUCUCAGCCACCCUCACUGUGACAUCUGGCCCCUGAGCAGGACCCUGACAUUCAGUUGUGUCAGCUGGGGUUAGCUGAGAGAUAGGCCAGGGCUCCCUGGGACUGUGGAUUGUGCCUGGCCCAGUGGAUUUCCCAUCACUUCGAGGGACCUGAGCCAGCAUUGGUGGGGACGAUGACGGUUUCCUCCUGUGGAGGAUUGCAGGUGGGUUUGGGAAAAUGCAGGACAUUUAUCACCUAUUUUGCCACUGUGUUUUUAAAAUAUGGAUCCACAUCCCAUAAUUGAUUUGGGGCGUUCCAGUGGCUGUUCCCCCCAAGGCGGAGAAGUGAGAAAAAUGCAUGGUCAGAUGUCCAAAGAGGAAAGGAGCUUAUAUGGACACUUUAAGUUAAUUCUCACUGAUCAUGACAAAAUAUUUUUAAAGGGUGAAUUAAAAUCAAUUGUGAGGUGAAUCAUUAAAAAAUUUUCUAGUCACCUCUGCUGACAAAAUCCAUACCACUGAAUUUUGAGACUCUGUGGGAUUUAAAUUGUACAACCUUUCAAUCAAAAGGGACCCCAUUGCACCCCGGAUGCUCCCCUUCUUCCACACCAUCCUUGAGACCCUUCACCAGCAAGCCAUGUGUCGAAAACCUGAUCCAUCAGUCACUCCUAACCUGGGACCUCUCCUGAAACCUGCCUUUCCUGGACUUUUCAUGAUGGUCCAAAAUGGCAAUGGCCACGCUGUCUUGGAGCAUUGUGCCCUGGAGACCCAAGAUGGAAGAAGCCCGAAUGUGGCUCGGGAGCCUGGCCAUCCUCCCUCCAUCUUGGGUCCUCCAUUUCCUGCUACCACAACCUUCUCUUCCACUCUGAAGGAACCUCCAGACUCCACCCCUCUGCCUGCAGGUUGCGCCUCCACUGUCAUUCAUUCCACCUCCACCCUGGGCCACAGCUCCAGAAAAUGACAAAAUGGCAGCGCCCUUUACUCACCCUCCGGCAACAAUAUAAACCCCAUGGUCAAGGAUACUAAGCCAAACUGUCAACCUAUUUCUACUCCAAAUGUUUCUGCUCCAAGUUAUUCUUCCUCCCCAGAAGACAGUUUGGAUUCCCCAGAGCCACCUCUCCCCUCAACCCUAGAAGAUCCCUGGGAAAGGAUCUGGAAGGAACCAGUUAAGGAAGGAGACUGGCAAAUAGUCUUGAAACUCCUCAUUGCCUCAGGACAUUAGGAAAGAAGGGAGCAGAAUCCCAGAAUACACCCUGUGGGAAAGAGGGACGGAAGUGUUUACUAAAUCAAUUAAUAGCAGACUAUGCUAAUAAUGAGGCAAGGGCGCAAUUGACAAUCAGCCAUCUAGCUGGAGAAGGACAACACAGCCUGCCAGAUGAUCAAGCAGCAGGUAUCCCCAGAGAAGUAUUGGACGAUAGAAAAGAGAUGGCUUUGAAAGCUUUGAUCCAGAGACACUCAAGAGUUUUAGAUUGCUUCAAAGAAUUAAAAAGACAAAAUCCCUCUUUGGCUGUGUGCUGUCAGAUCUCCAAGCAAAGCAGAUCCCAGGUGAGUGAGGAGAGACAGGAUGGGGUUGGAGAAUGUGGAGCAGGGUUGUCAACACUGGGUCAGAGAUCAAGGCACAGCUUCUCUGACCAGGCCAGACCUCCUUAGGAGAGUCCCUGGAUCAAUAUCAGUCACAGAACGCUUCAAUCACCUCUUGUGUACUAAGAAAAAUAAUAAAAGACAUCCUUGAAAAUAGGAAUACAUAUUUCCUAGAAAAUCUUUGAAAUAUUUCUCCAGCAGGAAAACUUCCUGAUGAACAGCACUAGAGCAGAGGGAAAUCAAGGCAGAGCCAUGGGUUGUCAGGACUUGCUUGAGGCUAAUAAGCCUCAUGGUGCAUUUGGAGCUGAGCCCUGGAACCUCAGGCCCUGAGAGGAUAUUGCACAAACCUGUCCAGAAGUCAAAGUCAGAAGAAAACCCCGAAGUUUGUCAAGGCAUGAAUAGGUCCUAAGGAGGUCCAUCCCCAAUACAGGCUGAUCAUGGACUCCUUGGAGGAGAGAAUUGGAGGCCAGGAUGCCACAAAAACCUCUCAGAGACUCAGUGUGAAAAGGAAAAUCCAAAGUACUUUAAAAACCUUGAGUAUCUCAAAGUAUUAAUGAGCCCAAUUGGGUGUCAGUGCAAAGCUCUCAAGGGACUCAUUAAAGCAGAUAAUUGGGGCCAUGAUUGCACAAACCUCUCCCAAAGUCUGUAUCAAAAGGGAAACACCAAGUACCUUCAAAUAACUGAAGUACCCUGAAGCAUUAAUGAGCCCCAUGGAGUGUUGUUACUGACAAAGCCUCUCCAGGGACUAAUUACAGCAGAAAAUUGGAGCCCAUGAUUGCACAAGCCUCUCAGAAAGUCAAGGUAAAAGCAAAAGCCUAAGUCCUUUGAAAAACCUGCAGUCCCUGGGAGCAUGAAGGAUCCCCCAGGGCCAUUGCUGAGCAAGGCUCCCCAGGGACUCCUUCCAGCAGAUCCUUGAGGCCACUGG